rnacentral:rRNA from 1 species
ACGUAGGAAGCGAGCGUUAUCCGGAUUUACUGGGCGUAAAGUGGACGUAGGCGGCCUUUCAAGUCGGAUGUGAAAUCUCUUGGCUUAACCAGGAGGGGUCAUCCGAUACUGUUGGGCUCGAGGAUAGCAGGGGAAGGUGGAAUUCCCGGUGUAGUGGUGAAAUGCGUAGAUAUCGGGAGGAACACCAGUGGCGAAGGCGGCCUUCCAGGCUGUUUCUGACACUGAGGUGCGAAAGUGUGGGUAGCGAACAG